rnacentral:misc_RNA from 1 species
GAUGAAGAACGUAACGAAAUGCGAUACGUAAUGUGAAUUGCAGAAUUCGGUGAAUCAUCGAAUCUUUGAACGCACAUUGCGCCCGCCAGCACUCUGGCGGGCAUGCCUGUUCGAGCGUCAUUUCAACCAUCAAGCCCCAGGCUUGCGUUGGAGCCCUGCGGCUGCCGCAGCCUCCUAAAAGCAGUGGCGGGCUCGCUAUCACACCGAGUGCAGUAGAUUACUCUUCGCUCAGGGCGUGCAGCGGGUUCCGGCCGUGAAACCCCCUACUUUUAAAGGUUGACCUCGGAUCAGGUAGGAAUACCCGCUGAACUUAAGCAUAUCAAUAAGCGGAGGA